rnacentral:lncRNA from 1 species
GAUCUAUUAGUGUAUCCAUGGGCUUUUCUUGUAAACUGAGGUGUGACAAUUUGAGCCUAUGAGUUUAACCUCUGUCUCUCAAGCCCAAUUUUUUUGAGUGCACCAAACUAUCAUAUCGCUUUUCACGACUCCACUCUAGAAACCUGUCAUAUUUGUAAGAGCCACCAACUUAGUCGCACUGUAUCACUUAGAUGAGUAACUCAUGAUUAUUAAACCAUUAGCUCUGACAUAAGCUGUUAGAGCGUUUUGGGCCAACUCUAGAGCCCAAAUAUGUGACAUAUCUAAUAAAAUUCAUUCAA